GCUUUGCACGUUCUCUGCCGCCAUAUUGUGCGACACUGCAGGAGGACUUCUCCCGUGAAACAUGUUAACAGCACGAUUUGCAGCAAAUUUGUCAAGGCAUAUCCCAAGACUUGCCACCCAGGUGAGCAAAAAUGCGUGGGCAGCCGGAUGUGUAGCUUCUAAAAACUUCUCAACAACACCUUGGAAAAAUGCUGCUGGUGGUGCAGCUGAAGUGUCUUCAAUCUUGGAGGAGAAAAUUCUGGGGGCCUCUUCCCAAUCAAAUCUGGAAGAAACAGGAAGAGUGCUGUCCAUUGGAGAUGGUAUUGCUCGUGUCUAUGGAUUGAAAAAUAUCCAAGCAGAAGAAAUGGUGGAAUUCUCCAGUGGAUUAAAGGGUAUGGCCUUGAACUUGGAGAGGGACAAUGUUGGUGUUGUCGUCUUUGGUAAUGACAAAUUGAUCAAGGAGGGAGAUGUAGUCAAAAGGACAGGCGCCAUUGUGGAUGUGCCAGUUGGAAGAGAAAUGCUCGGCCGUGUAGUUGAUGCUUUAGGGAACCCUAUUGAUGGAAGGGGACCUGUCAACACUGAUGGACGUGCUCGUGUGGGAGUGAAAGCUCCUGGUAUCAUUCCACGUAUCUCUGUAAAGGAACCUAUGCAGACUGGAAUCAAGGCUGUAGAUAGUUUGGUACCAAUUGGCAGAGGACAGAGAGAAUUGAUCAUUGGUGACAGACAGACAGGAAAAACUGCCAUUGCCAUCGAUACUAUCAUCAACCAGAAACGUUUCAAUGAAUCUGACAACGAGAAGGCCAAACUGUACUGUAUCUAUGUUGCUAUUGGACAGAAGAGGUCAACAGUUGCACAGAUCGUGAAGAGAUUGACAGACGCUGAUGCCAUGAAGUACACCAUCAUUGUCAGUGCGACAGCUUCCGAUGCUGCUCCCCUGCAAUACUUGGCUCCAUACUCUGGUUGUGCUAUGGGAGAGUUUUUCAGAGACAAUGGCAUGCAUGCUCUCAUCAUUUAUGACGAUUUGUCCAAACAGGCUGUAGCUUAUCGUCAGAUGUCUCUUCUGCUCCGUCGUCCCCCAGGACGUGAAGCCUACCCUGGAGACGUUUUCUACCUCCACUCCCGUCUGUUGGAACGUGCCGCCAAGAUGAACGAUGACCACGGUGGUGGAUCCCUGACUGCUCUCCCAGUCAUUGAGACCCAAGCUGGUGAUGUGUCUGCUUACAUCCCAACCAAUGUCAUCUCCAUCACUGACGGACAGAUCUUCUUGGAAACUGAGUUGUUUUUCAAGGGUGUGCGACCCGCCAUUAACGUUGGAUUGUCUGUCAGUCGUGUAGGAUCUGCUGCUCAGACCAAAGCUAUGAAACAGGUGGCAGGUUCCAUGAAAUUGGAAUUGGCUCAGUACAGAGAAGUGGCAGCUUUCGCUCAGUUUGGAUCUGAUUUAGAUCAAGCUACACAGAACUUGUUGAACAGAGGUGUGCGUCUGACUGAGCUUCUAAAGCAGGGACAGUAUGUGCCAAUGGCCAUUGAGGAACAAGUAACAGUUAUAUAUGCUGGUGUCAAAGGUCAUCUAGAUAAAAUUGAUCCCUCCAGAAUCACACAAUUCGUAAAGAUGGACAAAUCACAGAGGCCACAGAUGCUAAAUUAAAAGAAGUAGUAACUACUUUCUUGGCUGGAUUUGAGUGAACAGAGUGUACAGUUAGACCUUUAGUGCUGAACUCUGUGAUACAUGGUUUUACAAGUAGUGUAUGCGUGUCUAGUAAUGACUCAAAGACCUUCAAACAUGUGAAAGUUGUUACGAUUUGAAUUUGAUUGCAUUAACACAUCCAACAAUUACAUUAAAAAAGAGAAUAUUUAU
rnacentral:misc_RNA from 1 species